GUUGAAUUGACGCCUCCUUGGGGUGAGAAGAAACCCUUCCUGGGCAUUAAAAUAUUCUGCCAUGGUGAGAAGCCGGAGGUCCAGAAGGUGAAAUGACUUUCCCAUGGUCAUGUGCCAUUCCACAAUAAGGCAGGGAUCUGAAUCUGACUGUGUCCCCACCAUUCCUACGUCACCUUGCUGCCUUUCAACCUCCUCUCAGUUUUAGAACUGAGGUUGAGAUCAUCUCAGUUCCAAAAGAUAAAGCAUGAUGCACUGAUGGUGGCCUAUGUUUCCCACUCUAUGAUCUCGAGGCUCUUUUAACCCCAGGUGAAGAAGUGGUGGUAGGCAGGGAAAAGGGCCACAAGCCACUGGCAGUCGGAAGCCCCAGAGUUCCUCCUAAGACUUGAAAAUGUGUGCAAUUGCCUAAAUUAAACUCAAUAUGCUGCUUG